rnacentral:lncRNA from 1 species
GAAGUCACGUGCAAGUGCCUUUGAUUCGUUCCUUCUUUCUAAAGACGACAGUCUUUGUUGUUAGCACUGAAUUAUUGAAAAUGUCAACCAGAUUCUAGAAACUGCGGUCAUCCAGUUCUUCCUGACACCGGAUGGGUGCUUGGGAACCGUUUGAGCCUUAUAGAUCAUUUACAUUCAAUUUUUUUAACUCAGCAAGUGAGAACUUACAAGAGGGUUUUUUUUUUAAUUUUUUUUUCUCUUAAUGAACACAUUUUCUAAA